rnacentral:tRNA from 1 species
GGUGGUGGCUCAGUGGUAGAGUGCUUGUCUAGCAUGUGUGAGGCAGUAGUUUUGAUUCUCAGCACCACAUAUAAAUAAAUAAAAAUAAAAUUCUAUCAACAACUAAAAUAAAAUUUAAAAAAAUUAUAACUGGUGCUGGGGAUGUAACUCAGUUGAUACAGUGCUUGCCUAGCAUACACAAGGUCCUGAGUUCAAUCUCCAACACCACCA